UACGAAGGGGGCUAGCGUUGCUCGGAAUCACUGGGCGUAAAGCGCACGUAGGCGGUCUUUUAAGUCAGGGGUGAAAUCCUGGAGCUCAACUCCAGAACUGCCUUUGAUACUGAGGAUCUUGAGUUCGGGAGAGGUGAGUGGAACUGCGAGUGUAGAGGUGAAAUUCGUAGAUAUUCGCAAGAACACCAGUGGCGAAGGCGGCUCACUGGCCCGAUACUGACGCUGAGGCACGAAAGCGUGGGGAGCAAACAGG
rnacentral:rRNA from 1 species